rnacentral:rRNA from 1 species
UACGUAGGGUGCAAGCGUUGUCCGGAAUUAUUGGGCGUAAAGAGCUCGUAGCGGUUUGUCGCGUCUGCUGUGAAAACGCGGGGCUCAACUCCGCGCCUGCAGUGGGUACGGGCAGACUAGAGUGAUGUAGGGGAGACUGGAAUUCCUGGUGUAGCGGUGAAAUGCGCAGAUAUCAGGAGGAACACCGAUGGCGAAGGCAGGUCUCUGGGCAUUAACUGACGCUGAGGAGCGAAAGCAUGGGGGAGCGAACAGG